AUUGCGUGAAACAAACAAUUGUUCAGCGAAACUAACCUGAAAUUACACGUCUACUUUCUUUCCCAGGCUGGCGCUGAGAUGGGCAGGUGCUGCAGCAGCCCCGCUGGAAGCGAUGCAGCAUCCAGGACGACGGAGGAAGGGGCGGAGAGGGACCUCUGCUUUCCAGGCUGCCUUUUAUACUGCCUCUGGUCACCUGACAUGGAACGUACCCUAACCUAAUCAGUUACCUGUACCUUAAUUGCAAUUAACUUAAUCCAAUUACAUGACCUGGAAAGGUCUAUCUGCACAGCCCACUCUAAGAUCAUGUCCACUGCUGACAGACAUUCUAAAACCUACUUGUACAGCUGCAAGCUUUGAACAAUAGAUGUUCCCCGUCAGACAUGUAACACUGGUGCCUGUACCCCUGUCUUCUUUUCCAUCUUUUUUGUUGUUUUGUUUUGUUUUGUUUUAAAAAAUGUGGUAAAAUAGACACCUUUUAAUUGGACCACAUUUUGUCUAUCUCGACGUAGGCCUCAGUGUCAUCAAGGAGACUCUGCUUGACAUGCAGUCACGGCCAUGAUCCAUCUUCAGAGCUUCUCUUUCUUCCCCAAGGCCUCAGUGUCAUCAAGGAGACUCUCCUUGACAUGCAGUCACGGCCAUGAUCCAUCUUCAGAGCUUCUCUUUCUUCCCCAAGGCUGGCGCUGAGAUGGGCAGGUGCUGCAGCAGCCCGGCUGGAAGCGAUGCAGCAUCCAGGACGACGGAGGAAGGGGCAGAGAGGGACCUCCGCUUUCCAGGCUGCCUUUUAUACUGCCUCUGGUCACCUGACAUGGAACGUACCCUAACCUAAUCAGUUACCUGUACCUUAAUUGCAAUUAACUUAAUCCAAUUACAUGACCUGGAAAGGUCUAUCUGCACAGCCCACUCUAAGAUCAUGUCCACUGCUGACAGACAUUCUAAAACCUACUUGUACAGCUGCAAGCUUUGAACAAUAGAUGUUCCCCGUCAGACAUGUAACACUGGUGCCUGUACCCCUGUCUUCUUUUCCAUCUUUUUUGUUGUUUUGUUUUGUUUUGUUUUAAAAAAUGUGGUAAAAUAGACACCUUUUAAUUGGACCACAUUUUGUCUAUCUCGACGUAGGCCUCAGUGUCAUCAAGGAGACUCUCCUUGACAUGCAGUCACGGCCAUGAUCCAUCUUCAGAGCUUCUCUUUCUUCCCCAAGGCCUCAGUGUCAUCAAGGAGACUCUCCUUGACAUGCAGUCACGGCCAUGAUCCAUCUUCAGAGCUUCUCUUUCUUCCCCAAGGCUGGCGCUGAGAUGGGCAGGUGCUGCAGCAGCCCCGCUGGAAGCGAUGCAGCAUCCAGGACGACGGAGGAAGGGGCGGAGAGGGACCUCUGCUUUCCAGGCUGCCUUUUAUACUGCCUCUGGUCACCUGACAUGGAACGUACCCUAACCUAAUCAGUUACCUGUACCUUAAUUGCAAUUAACUUAAUCCAAUUACAUGACCUGGAAAGGUCUAUCUGCACAGCCCACUCUAAGAUCAUGUCCACUGCUGACAGACAUUCUAAAACCUACUUGUACAGCUGCAAGCUUUGAACAAUAGAUGUUCCCCGUCAGACAUGUAACACUGGUGCCUGUACCCCUGUCUUCUUUUCCAUCUUUUUUGUUGUUUUGUUUUGUUUUGUUUUAAAAAAUGUGGUAAAAUAGACACCUUUUAAUUGGACCACAUUUUGUCUAUCUCGACGUAGGCCUCAGUGUCAUCAAGGAGACUCUGCUUGACAUGCAGUCACGGCCAUGAUCCAUCUUCAGAGCUUCUCUUUCUUCCCCAAGGCUGGCGCUGAGAUGGGCAGGUGCUGCAGCAGCCCGGCUGGAAGCGAUGCAGCAUCCAGGACGACGGAGGAAGGGGCAGAGAGGGACCUCUGCUUUCCAGGCUGCCUUUUAUACUGCCUCUGGUCACCUGACAUGGAACGUACCCUAACCUAAUCAGUUACCUGAGGCGCUUGGAAACCACCGUGAAUUGGACCGCACUGGGAAACACAGAUGAGGAAAGUCAACAACGCUUUGUCCUUCAGUGCCUGGCUCCUUUUUCAGCUCGUCUUGCGACUCCAGGCAUUAUGCCUGAAAAGUCUCCCGGACGCCUGUGAGGCUGUAAUUCCCUGGGUCCCAUUGCCAUGUCUCUGGAUUUGCGAAGAUCCACCGCACCUUCUGUGGAACUCCCGUGUCGGUGAACUUUUGUGCCACGGCCCCUAGUUCUGCCCAUGGUCAUCCGCACCUGCACGACUUAGGGUCCAUGUUCCUUGGACGGGAAGAGACAGGCAGGAGUCGGAAUGAUGAACCAGCACACUGGGGCGUUUUCUCAUGUAGCCCAAGUGACCCCAUGGUCUUCUCGAGCUUUGGAACCAGUCGCGUCCCCUUUGACACUGCACCCGGCUCCCAGUCUCUCAAUCUUGUUGGCCCUCCGGCGAUCUCCCGUUGGAUGAAUUGCUCCUGCUGAAACUCGAGUCCCCUUUGA